rnacentral:antisense_RNA from 1 species
GUAGGAGCUGAGCUUGCUCGCGAUGCAGGCGCCUCGGUUAACCUGAUUUCUGCGGUGAUGCUAUCGCGAGCAAGCUCAGCUCCUAC